GUGUGCUGUUAAAGAAGAUAAACAGAUGGAUAUAUUAUACUUAUUUAACUGUCUAGUAAAGUUCAAAGACAGUCUUUAAAAAGUGCAAUCCACAUGUUUACAUAUGUUUAUUACAGUAAACAAUAAUUAACUAAUAUAAAUACUACUAGUGUGGUAAAGCCACAUAUUUGUUUCUAUAUUUUUGCAAUCUGAAGUUAAGUUUGUGUGAUUUGUUUCUGACUUUCAUAUGAAUGUUUAAACCAGGCUUGGCCAGUGCUCAAUAUACUAUUGUGACUGAAAUAGUUAAAU